CAGACGUUGUUGUAUGCGAUACGCAUAAAACUCCAGCAUUGUUACAUACUUUCUUUUACCUUUGCUGCCUCUUUUAUUUUCAUACUCUAUUUCUGGUCUGAAACCAUCUUCUCCAUAUGGAAAAAGCAAGGGGUACUGCAUUGACAUAUAGCUUGGGUGCAACUCUAAAAUCCUCUGUAACAUUCUGUCUUUGGUCUCAAAUAUUAUAUCAAAUUCAUUGUUUUCUCCAUCUUGUUCCCCAAUAAUUAGUGCUGCACUUCUGAGGCAGAUGGUAGGUUGUAUUGCCGUCCAUCUUUCGACCUUUUGUUGAUCAAUCUUAGUCUUACAUCUUUAAUACGUCGGUUUUGGAAUCUGUCCCUUGCCAUACGAAAUGAUUUGACUAAAACAUUGUGCUCAUCAAGCAUUUCCAGUAGUCCUUUGACAAUGUUUUCAUCUGGCUGUGUCUUACUCUCCGUUGAAGCAGAUGCAUUAAUCCUAUUCCGCACUUCAUUUUCUGUGUCAUGUAUGUACAAUUGGGGAAAUUUUGGUUUCGUCACGUCAUCCUUAGGAAGUAAAGUGCCAAUCUGAUGGUAAUUCUGGCCAUUCAAACGGAAAACAUACGGUCCAGAUGCCUGCUUAUUAAUUUCAUAAUCAACCUUUCCUCCCAUUGAAGUGAAUGCGAACAUCGAGUUGUACAACCUGAUGUUCUGGCGGAAAUUUGAUGAUUCUCCUCUUUCAUUGUAACGUAGUAGCUGUCGGAGAUACAGCGGAGCUUGCUUCAGUGGUGGUAAUUUAACUUUCCCUUCCUUGCAGCAGAGACCAAAUUUUGGAACUGUGAUGUUACCUGUGCUUGUGCUUCUCUCUCCAUGCCACAUAAUGGCAUUGCAAAAUUCACAAACACAAUUUGGUUUUCCCAGAUAUGAAACUUGAGUGACAUCCUUCGCUACAUUAGAUACUUCACAGUCAUUGUCCUUUUCUGUCCUUAGUCGUUUGCUUGCCUUUUUCAGCUGGAGGAUCUCUUUCCUUUUCUGCCUAGCUUCCUUUGCUGCUGCUCUAAUGAUGUCUGAUUGACUAUCAUUAGAUUCGAGUGUUGCUAGUUUAGAGGCCGCUUGCUCAGUGCGUGUUCGACGCAUGUUGACUGCGGCUAGUGAAUCCUGAAAUAAUGAGGCACCACAUUGUUUGCAAGGAUGCUGAAGGAGACAUGCAUAUAUUAUUUGUGGAAGGAGAUAAUGAACAUUGGCUGCAAGUACUGCCACGCAACCUGUCUGCUCCUUGCUGCUUGCGAGAGGAGGGCAAUGUCUUGCCGGGAUGUGCACGCUCUGUAAUUGGUGAUCUGAAUCCCAAGUUUAUCGGCGCUUCCUCUCUGUCAAGUUAAUACAAAGCAUGUGUAAUGAGAUCGGAGAGUUAAUGCAUAUAUUAAUCAUUGUAAGGAGACAUGCAUGUAUUAUUUGUGGAAGGAGAUAAUGAACAUUACCUGCAAGUACUGUCACACACCCUGUCUGCUCCUUGUUGCUGUCGAGAGGACUAAUUAUUGCAUGUAUGUGAUGAAGGAUGAGAUCAGGGGCGAUGUCUUGCCUUGAUGUGUACGAAUUGAGUCGAUAUAGAAUUCUUAUUUGUAAAGAAGCGUAGUUAAGGCUAGAGUUUGUAGGUUGGAGUUUGUCAUCUGUACGUUUUAAACCUAUACAAUAUCUGAGCCGUUAUUAUUUUGUGUCA